rnacentral:lncRNA from 1 species
GGAGGUUUUCAAGGCCUUGAUUUUCACUAAGGAUACCGUGCAGCCAAUUAUUGAUGGUUCGACUAACAAAACGGUUUGCUCUCAUAGCACGUUACUACUCUUUGAUAAAUUUUACUAUUACCGUUUGUAGUGUAUGUAGCUAAUUAAUGUAAUCAUUGUCAUAAAUUUUUCAAACAGGUUAGCAUUGAUGUGCUGAGGAGGAAGUAUGUGCUUUUGUUCAUUUCCACCCUUGACAUUUCUGAUGAUGACAUUUCGAUUGUCAAACCAGUUUAUGAGGGGACAAAGAAAGACGAUAAGUAUAAGAUUGUGUGGAUCCCUAUUGUGGAGCAAUGGACUGAUGACCUACGAAAGAAGUUCGAGGUCUUGAGGGCCAAGAUGCCAUGGUACACUGUGCAGUAUUUUGCGCCUGUAGCCGGCGUCAGAUUCAUCAAGGAGGAGUGGCACUUCAAGGGCAAGCCCGCUGUGGUAGUGAUGAACCCGCAAGGCAAGGUGGAAAAUACGAAUGCUCUCCACUUGAUUCGGAUUCAUGGAAUGAAGGCAUUUCCUUUUCAUAAGGGAAUAGAAGAUACUCUCACAAAUGACAAAGAAUGGAUCACUCCCAUUGUGAAUGAUAUUCACCCAACCAUACAGACCUGGGUAAUUAAUUCAAUUCAUUUUUCACAAUUCCACAGCAUUACAGCACCAAUUUUAAUUCAAAUUUGUGGGUAUAAUUUUUAUUUCUUUGUUCGAGCAGAUCAAAGAGGAGAAGUACAUCUUCUUCUAUGGAGGCAAAGACAAUGACUGGAUCCAGCAGUUCACAAAGAAAGCAACUACCAUUGCCAAUGACCCCUUCAUCAAGGAAUUGAAGAUCAAUAUUGAGCUAUUUUGUGUUGGCAAGAGCCCGAAAGGCGGAGAAGACCUUGGAAUUCUCGGGAGAUUUUGGAAUGGAAUUGAGAGCUUGUUCUUCACCAAAGUCAACAAGCAAACUGACACUGUGACCAAAGAAGUCCAGAAGCUGCUUUCCUACAAAAAUGAGGGUGGAUGGGCUGUGCUUACUAAGGGGUCCACUGUGGUGGUGAGUGGCCAUGGCUUCACAAUCUUGAAGGUCCUUGACGACUUCGACACAUGGAAGAACUUCAUAAAGGAGAAGGGCUUUGAAUUCUCGUUCAAAGCAUACUACGAGAAGGUGAUUCAGACUAUGAGGCACUGCUGCCGCCUUGACAUCCCGAGCGUUGCUGGAAAGGUCCCGGAGACCAUGAAAUGCCCAGAGUGUCCUCGCACCAUGGAGACAUUCGUGAGCUACAAGUGCUGCCACACUGAUUCUCCCAUCAACGCGCAUCAUUGAAGGGUUUGCUGUUUUGAGUCUACGAGGUCAUCUUAUGACUAUACUACGAGGUUAUGAACUUAUGCGUUGUGUUUGUGUGGUUCGUAGUGUCGUCCUUGGGACUUGAAUAAUGGGCAUUUUCAUUAUUAUGUAAUCUGAUGAUGCCUACCAAUCUGAGUGGUGAGUGUUGUGUGAUGUGUAAGUGUGUCUUACAAUGCAAUUUUAUGUUUUAAGUUUAAUGUUUUCGUAGCACUUUUCGCCCUCGAUCUCAUGGAUAUUUCUUUGAAUUUAUUACAUUGACAUGAUCAAUUGACCUGGUAAA